UACGAAGGGGGCUAGCGUUGUUCGGAAUUACUGGGCGUAAAGCGUAUGCAGGCGGACUUUUAAGUCGGGGGUGAAAUCCCGAGGCUCAACCUCGGAACUGCCUUCGAUACUGGAAGUCUUGAGUCCGGGAGAGGUGAGUGGAACUCCGAGUGUAGAGGUGAAAUUCGUAGAUAUUAGGAAGAACACCGGUGGCGAAGGCGGCCCACUGGAUCGGUACUGACGCUGAGGUGCGAAAGCGUGGGGAGCAAACAGG
rnacentral:rRNA from 1 species